rnacentral:rRNA from 1 species
GACGAACGCUGGCGGUGUGCUUAACACAUGCAAGUCGAACGGUAAGGCCCUUUCGGGGGUCCACGAGUGGCGCACGGGUGAGUAACACGUGAGUAACCUGCCCUCAUCUCUGGGAUAACAGUCGGAAACGGUUGCUAAUACUGGAUAUGAGCUUGCAAGGCAUCUUGUGGGUUGGAAAGAUUUUUUUUGGUUGGGGAUGGACUCGCGGCCUAUCAGCUUGUUGGUGAGGUAGUGGCUCACCAAGGCUUCGACGGGUAGCCGGCCUGAGAGGGCGACCGGCCACAUUGGGACUGAGAUACGGCCCAAACUCCUACGGGAGGCAGCAGUGGGGAAUAUUGCACAAUGGACGGAAGUCUGAUGCAGCAACGCCGCGUGCGGGAUGACGGCCUUCGGGUUGUAAACCGCUUUCAAUUGUGACGAAGCUUUUUUGUGACGGUAGCAGUAGAAGAAGCACCGGCUAACUACGUG